CAGUAUGAAAAGCAUGUCACACCACAAGAAAAGCACAUUUAUCACAAACACAACAUUAGUGUCCCAGCACUCCAAGAGUACUUCCUUUAGUACCGUGUGUACAAUGUCUGAGUGCACUCAAAUGGAAGGAGUACUUAUUUCAGGUUGAGGUACUGAGGUAGAACAUCAUCCCAGAACUCUUCACCUCCAUGACCUUUGACCCCUGACUUUGGUCUCCCUGAUUUUUUCACACUUCUGACAUCAGCAGACUUUUUCUUUUUGACAACCUCUUCUUCUUCUUCUUCUUCUUCCUCUUCUUCUUCUUCCUCAUCUUGCUCACUUUCUUGCUCUUCUUUGCUCUCUUCCUCAUUUUCUUCUUCUUCGCCUUCAUCUUCUUUUUUGUCCUCUUCCUCAUCGUUUUCCUCUUCUUCGUCAUCUUCUUCAUUUUCUUCCUCCUCGCUCUGCUCUUCUUUUUCUGUCGUCUCCUCCUCCUCCUCCUCCUCCUCCUCCUCCUCUUCUUCUUCUUCUUCUUCUUCAGUUUCAUUGUCGCUUUCUGCUUCCUCAGAACAUUCCUCCUCUUCCUCCUCUUCCUCCCUGCCCUCCGAAGACACAGAAUCUUCUUCUUUGCUGUCCUUUUCUUCCUCACUUCCAUCAAUUUCAGACUCUUCCUCUUCACUCCCUGAUUCAUGGCUGGACUCUCCCUCAGUCUCUUCUGUGAUAGUCCCCCCUUGGCUAUCUUUCUUUCCAUUCUCACUUUCCCUUACAGAUGUUUCAUCCUCCUCUUCUUCUUCAUCUUCUUCUUCUUCUUCUUCUUGAGCACUUUCGCCUUCUUCUUCGUCGUCACUUCCUGACUUUUCAUCUGGUUGAAGAGUGUCGCUGUCAUCGUCAUCUGUCACUUUUUUCUGACUGACCUCCUCCUCCUCCUCCUCUUCACUUUCAUUAGUACAUGACUCCUUCUCGUCCUGGUCUUCGUCUUUCUCACUUGCAUCUGUAGUUGAUCCCUUCGCUUUCUCUUCUUCUUCUUCCUCGCUUGUAUCCGCACUUGAUCCUUUCCCUUUCUGCUCUUUCUCUUCCUCGCUCGUAUCCGCACUUGAUCCUUUCCCUUUCUGCUCUUUCUCUUCCUCGCUUGUAUCCGCACUUGAUCCUUUUCCUUUCUGCUCUUCGUCAUCUUCGCUCGUAUCCGCACUUGAUCCCUUUCCUUUCUGUUCGUCCUCUUCCUCACUUGCAUCUGUACUUGUCUGCCCAUAUUGGUCUUCCUCCUCCUGAUCCUGAGCAAGAGAGUCCUUCAUUUGUUGUCUUCCUCUUUGACUUUCCGUGGCAGGACUGCUGCUGAGGCUUUGGUUAGAUUUCCUGCCGGCUGAUGGGGUGACUGUGUCUGUGGUUCCUUGGUGGCUGCUCGGUGAGCUGAAUGCCGCGACCCCCUGGACUAAAGAAGCAGCUCCAGCAAAAGUGGCUUUGCAGUCUGGUUCCAGUUUCCUGUCAGCAUCAAUUUGCCGACUCCUGAAGGCCCCUGCCUGGAGCUGCUGUCUAGAUGGUGCCUUCCUGAUGUCCCUGGGCUUCUCAGAGGCUGUGAUAUGAUUCUCUUUGUUCUGCUUGGUCGUCAUCUGCUGGGAGUGACUGCUUGGGCUCCUCAGAAGCUUGGAACCAGAAGGCAAGAGGAUAGAAAAGAGGCAUGCAUGAGUGUUGUAUUGAAGUGCAGAAUAAUGGACAUCAAGUUUUAUACCUGAAGAAUAGGGUUCAGUGGUUCUCUUCUGGCUAAGGUAGUUAGCAUGCUACUAUGAAUUGCAACUAAUAAUACUAUGAAGAGCUGAUAGGUGACAGCUUACAAAACACUGUGGCUGUGUCUCAAUUCGUGCACUUACCCCUCACACUGAGAAGUACAGUAAAAUGCUGUGCACCGUCAGCACCCAGACAUUGCAACCAAAAUGGCCAACUUGGGAUGGGACUAAGUUGAAAUAACAAUAGCCUAUAGGAUCAACCCAUAGCACUGAGAAUUGGUGUACAAAAGGAACAGCAGAAGAAGUGGGUAAAUAUUUGAAUAAUCAUUUCCAGAAAGUUGCACAUUGACAGUGAUCGAUUAAGGACAGCACUAUACUGUCAACAUCUGCGCUCUUGGGAACAAAAUACACAGCAUACUUCUGGAAGUGUACUGACAAAUUUGAAUUAAGACACAGCCUUUAUGCAAAGAAUGAACAAGUGUUGCCUGGGGCCCAUGUAAGGCCCAGAGCUUGUUCUUUUGAUUGGCCUGUGACACAUUCUAAGAAUACAACUAACAAUUACUAUUAAACAGACAUAAUACAACUUAGAGAAUUUGUUAAAUGACUGAACUUACAAUACUAAUGAUAAUAUGCUUUGUCACCCAUAAAAUAUACACCUUUGGUUUUAGUGUUUAAAAUAAACUUGAAUAUCAAAAUGAUAACUGAAAUCUAGGAUUUUUCUGUAUGCAGA